UAACGCGUGGGAAUCUGCCUAUCAGUGGGGAAUAACGACGGGAAACUGUCGCUAAUACCGCAUACGCCCUUCGGGGGAAAGAUUUAUCGCUGAUAGAUGAGCCCGCGUACGAUUAGCUAGUCGGUGAGGUAAUGGCUCACCAAGGCUACGAUCGUUAGCUGGUCUGAGAGGAUGAUCAGCCACACUGGAACUGAGACACGGUCCAGACUCCUACGGGAGGCAGCAGUGGGGAAUAUUGGACAAUGGGCGAAAGCCUGAUCCAGCAAUGCCGCGUGAGUGAUGAAGGCCUUAGGGUUGU
rnacentral:rRNA from 1 species